GGAUAUGAGGGCAAUCUGGCUGCGACGUCUGUCAGCUUACUGAUCACCAGCGUUGAUUCAUCUCAUCUGGCAGGCUAAGCAGGUGUCCCCUUCCUCCCUCAUCAAUCCACGUGUGUCCUUCCCAUAGCUGCACCCUUGUUCAUAGAGGAUGACUUUCCCCAACAGAGGAGGACAGGUCUUUGGUCAAGAGUAUAUGAAUAGCUACGUUCCCCUGCUAGAACCUCCAAACAAGCUCUCAAGGUCCCUUUGUAGGAGAACUCAGAGUAGUCAAGCUUCCAAGACUCCAGAGAUCCAAAUGAGGCAGUGCAUGUGGCAGUCUUU
rnacentral:snRNA from 1 species